GUUUGUAAUCAUAAAAACACUAAUACCAGAUUCCAUCAGAAAUGUGCAAUUAAGCAUACUUGGGCGAGAGUAAUACUAGAAUGGACGACCUCUUGGGAAGUUUUCAUGUGCACCCC
rnacentral:rRNA from 1 species